rnacentral:rRNA from 1 species
GAAGCGAACGCGGUGAACUGAAACAUCUAAGUAACCGCAGGAAAAGAAAUCAACCGAGAUUCCCAAAGUAGUGGCGAGCGAAAUGGGAUGAGCCUUGCACUCUUUAUUUGUAUUGUUAGCCGAACGCUCUGGAAAGUGCGGCCAUAGCAGGUGAUAGCCCUGUAGGCGAAAACAGUAUGAAAGAACUAGGUGUGCGACAAGUAGGGCGGGACACGUGAAAUCCUGUCUGAAGAUGGGGGGACCAUCCUCCAAGGCUAAAUACUCGUGAUCGACCGAUAGUGAACCAGUACCGUGAGGGAAAGGCGAAAAGAACCCCGGGAGGGGAGUGAAAUAGAUCCUGAAACCGCAUGCAUACAAACAGUCGGAGCCUCGUAAGGGGUGACGGCGUACCUUUUGUAUAAUGGGUCAGCGACUUACGUUCAGUAGCAAGCUUAACCGUAUAGGGCAGGCGUAGCGAAAGCGAGUCCGAAUAGGGCGUUCAGUUGCUGGGCGUAGACCCGAAACCAGGUGAUCUAUCCAUGGCCAGGAUGAAGGUGCGGUAACACGUACUGGAGGUCCGAACCCACUAACGUUGAAAAGUUAGGGGAUGAGCUGUGGAUAGGGGUGAAAGGCUAAACAAACCUGGAAAUAGCUGGUUCUCUCCGAAAACUAUUUAGGUAGUGCCUCGUGUCUCACCUUCGGGGGUAGAGCACUGUCAUGGUUGGGGGGUCUAUUGCAGAUUACCCCGCCAUAGCAAACUCCGAAUACCGAAGAGUGCAAUCACGGGAGACAGACAUCGGGUGCUAACGUCCGGUGUCAAGAGGGAAACAACCCAGACCGCCAGCUAAGGUCCCCAAAUAUAGCUAAGUGGGAAACGAAGUGGGAAGGCUAAAACAGUCAGGAGGUUGGCUUAGAAGCAGCCACCCUUUAAAGAAAGCGUAAUAGCUCACUGAUCGAGUCGUCCUGCGCGGAAGAUGUAACGGGGCUAAGCUAUAUACCGAAGCUGCGGAUGCGUGCUUAGCACGCAUGGUAGGAGAGCGUUCCGUAAGCCUGCGAAGGUGCCUUGUAAAGGGUGCUGGAGGUAUCGGAAGUGCGAAUGCUGACAUGAGUAGCGAUAAAGGGGGUGAAAGGCCCCCUCGCCGUAAGCCCAAGGUUUCCUACGCAACGUUCAUCGGCGUAGGGUGAGUCGGCCCCUAAGGCGAGGCAGAAAUGCGUAGCUGAUGGGAAGCAGGUCAAUAUUCCUGCACCAUUGUUAGAUGCGAUGGGGGGACGGAUCGCGGAAGGUUGUCCGGGUGUUGGAAGUCCCGGUCGCUGCAUUGGAGAAGGCGCUUAGGCAAAUCCGGGCGCGGAAUUCAAGGGUGUGGCGCGAGCUCCUUAGGGAGCGAAGCAAUUGGAAGUGGUUCCAAGAAAAGCCUCUAAGCUUCAGUCUAA